rnacentral:lncRNA from 1 species
AUGACGAUGAGGAGGAUGAUGAAGAUGUGUCGGCGACGGGAUCCAAUGAACGAAUGAAAAAAGAUAUUACUAAAAUAAUUUGUGAACGAAUGAAGGAAUGAAAAAAGUUUAGGUCAAAGAUAUUUAUAUUUAAGAAAAUGAGAGGAUUGGCGGAUAACUUAAUUUUGGAUAUUACGUGAUUGGCGGGAAUAUUUUAAAUUUGGGAAUAUUUUAAAUUUUGGGUAAUUUUGGGUAUUAUCUGAUUGGCGGGAAUAUUUUUUUAGAAAAGGCAGAAAAUUAAAAAUACGUACAGAUUAAAAAUAAGAGGAUUUGCAAGUAAUUUAAUUUUGGAAAAUUUCGGGUAUUACGUGAUUGGCGGGAAUAUUUUUUUACGAAAGGCGGGAAUACGUGGGAAUAUUUUUACGUGGGAAUAUUUUUUUGAGUUAAGAAAAUAUUUGAGAAAACACAUAGAUAGGAGAUAACGGAUAUUAAGGGAUAUUACGUGAUUGACGGGAAUAUUUUAAAUUUUGGGUAAUUUUGGGUAUUAUCUGAUUGGCGGGAAUAUUUUUUUAGAAAAGGCGGGAAUACGUGGGAAUAUUUUUACGUGGGAAUUUUUUUUUGAGUUAAGAAAAUAUUUGAGAAAACACAUAGAUAGGAGAUAACGGAUAUUAAGGGUAUUAUUGUCAAGAAAAAUGACAGAUACUUUUAUUUUUAUUCGUUGGAUGAGAUCCAAUGGUAAAAAUUUAAUAUCUAUAUGGAAAAAUAAAUUAUUAUCUAAAAACUUAUUUGAAACGAAUGGUUAAGAAUUACUGGACAUGACAAUAUUAAUAGAAAAGAUAGAGGUAUUUUUGGAAAGAAAAAAAAUUUAAAACUCACGCUUUUAUAAGUAGUAUAGAUAUAUAU